AACGCGAAGAACCUUACCCAGACUUGACAUGUAGAUGACGAUGGUAGAAAUACCAUUUCCCUUCGGGGCAUUUACACAGGUGCUGCAUGGCUGUCGUCAGCUCGUGCCGUGAGGUGUUUGGUUAAGUCCAGCAACGAGCGCAACCCUUAUCACUAGUUGCCAACAUUUAAGGUGGGAACUCUAGUGAGACUGCCUGGGUUAACCAGGAGGAAGGUGAGGAUGACGUCAAGUCCGCAUGGCCCUUAUGUCUGGGGCUACACACGUGCUACAAUGGUCGGUACAGAAGGCAGCGAAGCCGCGAGGUGGAGCAAAUCCAGAAAGCCGAUCUCAGUUCAGAUUGUAGUCUGCAACUCGACUACAUGAAGACGGAAUUGCUAGUAAUGGCGGGUCAGCAACACCGCCGUGAAUACGUUCCCGGUCUGACCACCAAGG
rnacentral:rRNA from 1 species